UAUGUGAUCGUCUCUCGCAUAUCAAUAAGCGGAGGAAAAGAAACUAACAAGGAUUCCCCUAGUAACGGCGAGUGAAGCGGGAAGAGCUCAAAUUUGAAAUCUUAAAGGGUUUCCCUUUACGAAUUGUAGUUUAAAGAAGUGUUUUCUGUUGAGGUUUUGGUAAAAGUUCUUUGGAAUAGGACAUCAUAGAGGGUGAGAAUCCCGUAUUUGACCUUUACUUUCAACUUCGUGAUACACUUUCAAAGAGUCGGAUUGUUUGGGAAUGCAGUCCAAAAUGGGUGGUAAAUUUCAUCUAAAGCUAAAUAUUGGCGAGAGACCGAUAGCGAACAAGUACCGUGAGGGAAAGAUGAAAAGAACUUUGAAAAGAGAGUUAAACAGUACGUGAAAUUGUCAAAAGGGAAGCGUUUGACACCAGUGUUGUUUUUCUGAAAAUCAAUUAAAGAACUGUUUAUGCUAAGCUGUUUAGACUUUAUCAGCUAUCUGUUUAGUUUUGAGCUUUUCUUUAAUGCACUUUUCAGCUAACAAGUCAACAUCAAUUUCUUUUGCUGUAAAAAAGCUUGAGGAAGGUGGCUUGAGAUUCGUCUUAAGUGUUUAUAGCCUCUUGCCUAUGCAGUCGGAGAGAUUGAGGUCUGCAGCGUAGAUCCUUCGGGGCUAAAUGCAUUUGUGCUAAGUUAUAGCAUUUUAUAGACAACUUGUUGACUAUGAUUUGUCUUGUAGCUUACUCGCUUAUGUUAUUUUACCUACGCUUAGGAUGUUGAGCGCAUGUCUCUCUCU
rnacentral:rRNA from 1 species